ACGACACAGGUCAAGUCGGGUCAGGUGACCGAGGGGAAUUUAGCGGCAAAACGGGAUAUUACGAAAAAAAAAAAAAAAAAAAGAAUGCCGGGAGCUGUGUCACAGCAGAGAGGAGAGGAGCAGAAAUCAGAGAAACUGUAAUACGCUAUGAAAAAUAAAAACAUGUCGGCUAGCUAUAGCGCUAGCAUCAGCACAGAGCCCGGAGAGGAGAGGACCAUGCUAACGAUGCUAACGAUGCUAAGAGGACCGGAAACCAACAGAGGCAGCCCUGAGACACGACGACACACCUGUUCAACUGCCCCCACCGGAGCCCCCCGACACACCCACACACCGACCAGCCCCACGGAGCCCCCGGCGGCGUCCUCAACUCUAUGAGAUGAAGCUAAACGCUGCUGCUGCAUCACAUCACGUCUCUGCUGCUCUUCACUCAUCACCUUUUGGUCCAUGUCCCAUCUGCUAACAUGGAAGGGGGGCGGGGCUUACGACCUACACUGCAGCCAGCCACCAGGGGGCGAUCCAGAUGAUUUGGCCUCACUUUUGGAGAUGUCAUGUCGUCCAUCUUUAUCGGGUAAGCAUGAACAUUGAGUUUUCGACUCUCUUUGUGUCUAUAUCUUCAGAUCAAUAAAAAGAAAACAAGCAACAUUUGUCAAAGGUACAAAAAGGUAAAAAACAAACAAGGAAAACUGUUGAACUUUUAUUUAAACAUAUAUAUUUUUUUUACUAUUACUGCUCUUUAAUGCUGUCUCAGUUUGAACCAUAUUCAGCCUCUUAUGUAUCAGAUGAGGAUAAUAUGUCUGUGAGUAAUUUGAGAAAAACGGUGUCAGGGCUGUUUGUGCUUGUCGGGGGGUAAAACAGGGUUUGUAGAUAAAAAAGCAGCGGAGCUGUUUCACAAUAAAACGCUCUGAUUUUUGUUUCCCUUAUUGGGUCACUGAAGGCUUUUAUCCCGUAAAUAGGACCAAGCGCACACACACACUUACAAACACGCACACGCACACACACACACACACACACCACGUCCACUGCUGUCUAAAGCAACAAACACACAAACAGAUAAAGAAAAAGAAUCACCCCAAACGGAUUUAUCAACCCACUGAGAGGAGGAUGAGGAUGUUGUGUUUCAGGAUGUCCGUGCAGCAAAAGUAGGUCACACAACAGUGACCAACCUGAACCAAAAAAAAAAAUAGUUACACACACACGAAUACAUACACUGUGCACAUGUCACGUACUGUGUGUACGUGUGCAGGUAAACUUGUAUUAUAAUGGAUAUAUAAUGGAUUUAUUAUGUGUUCUAAUGUUUAUUUGCGGUUCUAUUUCUGUGUAUUUGUUCCUCUA